rnacentral:rRNA from 1 species
CAGCAGCCGCGGUAAUACGUAGGUGGCAAGCGUUGUCCGGAAUUAUUGGGCGUAAAGGGCUCGCAGGCGGUUUCUUAAGUCUGAUGUGAAAGCCCCCGGCUCAACCGGGGAGGGUCAUUGGAAACUGGGAAACUUGAGUGCAGAAGAGGAGAGUGGAAUUCCACGUGUAGCGGUGAAAUGCGUAGAGAUGUGGAGGAACACCAGUGGCGAAGGCGACUCUCUGGUCUGUAACUGACGCCGAGGAGCGAAAGCGUGGGGAGCGAACAGGAUUAGAUACCCCCGUAGUCCCUGUCUCUUAUAC